rnacentral:rRNA from 1 species
UACGUAGGGACCAAGCGUUGUCCGGAAUCAUUGGGCGUAAAGAGCGUGUAGGCGGCUUGUUAAGUCUUGCGUGAAAUCUCGGGGCUCAACCCCGAGCGGUCGUGAGAAACUGGCAGGCUAGAGUGCGGGAGAGGAGAGUGGAAUUCCAGGUGUAGCGGUGAAAUGCGCAGAUAUCAGGAGGAACACCGGUGGCGAAGGCGGGUCUCUGGGCCGAUACUGACGCUGAGGAGCGAAAGCGUGGGGAGCAAACAGG